rnacentral:rRNA from 1 species
CACGUAGGGCGCAAGCGUUGUCCGGAAUUAUUGGGCGUAAAGGGCUCGUAGGCGGUUUGUCGCGUCGGACGUGAAAUCCCUCGGCUCAACCGGGGAACUGCGUCCGAUACUGGUUGGCUUGAAUUCGGGAGAGGGAUGCGGAAUUCCAGGUGUAGCGGUGAAAUGCGUAGAUAUCUGGAGGAGCACCGGUGGCGAAGGCGGCAUCCUGGACCGAGAUUGACGCUGAUGCGCGAAAGCCAGGGGAGCAAACGGG